rnacentral:rRNA from 1 species
AUUGAACGCUGGCGGCAGGCCUAACACAUGCAAGUCGAGCGGAGCGGCGGACGGGUGAGUAAUGCCUAGGAAUCUGCCUGGUAUUGGGGGAUAACGUCCGGAAACGGGCGCUCAUACCGCAUACUAUCAGAUGAGCCUAGGUCGGAUUAGCUAGUUGGUGGGGUAAAGGCCUACCAGGGCGACGAUCCGUAACUGGUCGGAGAGGAUGUGCAGUCCCACUGGAACUGAGACACGGUCCAGACUCCUACGUGAGGCAGCAGUGGGGAAUAUUGGACAAUGGGAGAAAGCAUGAUCCAGCCAUGCCGCGUGUGUGAAGAAGGUCUUCGGAUUGUAAAACAAUUUAAGUUUGGAGGCGUUACCAACAGAAUAAGCACCGGCUAACUUCGUGCCAGCAGCCGCGGUAAUAC